UGCCUGAUAAAGAACAGCCAGGGGGCCUCGCUAACAGGCGGCGGUUUCCUGCUUUGCGGCGCACAAGGUGGUGGGGAAGAAUGGAAAUGACCGGUCUGGGGUUCUGUCUCUUUCUGGCGGUUGUCUCAGGUGUCAGCUCCCAGGUCCAGCUGACCCAGUCUGGGGCCGAAAUCAAGAAACCCGGAGAAUCCGUGAAGCUGACAUGUAAAACCUCCGGCUACACCUUCACCAGCUAUUACAUGCACUGGGUCCGGCAGGCUCCCGGGAAGGGCCUGGAGUGGGUCGGGCGGAUCAAUCCAUAUAGUGGUGGCACUGACUAUGCCUCGGCCUUCCAGGGGCGAGUCACCAUCACCAGGGACAACUCCAUAACCACGGCCUGGCUGCAGCUGGGCAGCCUGCGAGCCGAUGACACAGCCACGUAUUACUGCGCUCGGGACACGGUGACACAAACCAAAACAACAGCCCUUCAAAAACCCCAGUGAGAGAACCCAGGUGUCCUGCCAACCCUGGAGCCUUUAGUCCCUCCGGCGAGCAUUUGCCCAGAUCAACAAGCCGGGGUCAUUUGUCCCAAAUUUCAUAGGCCCGUCACGGUCAGUUGUUUAGUUAUUUCUGGCUGCAGCGUUAAAUCAGUUUUCAGAACAGGCUUCUGUGACAGUCAUCUGUGUCAGCAGCAAAACAGCCCGGAGCGAAUGCCCUGAGUGAUAUACGAUAGGAGAUUUGAAGGAGGGGUUUUCAAUAUCUCUGCUUGAAGGUGUUCCUCAGUGAAUAAAUAAAUACUGGACUGAAAGAGAAGAGGGGUGCCUGCACCCCAUGUCAACCUCCCUUUGACAGUGGAGUCUCAAAUUCCUGCUCCCACAUCAGGCUCAAGAGGGAUGAUCCUGGCUGUUUCAUUUCCUAGGUAAGUGCUCUAACCACUAUAGGAAACCCCACCGACUCCUUCCCUGGCACAAGGGGCUUGGGAGCGUUAUUAAGUAUCAUCUGAAGCACCUACCUUUAGGACAGGGCUGUGAAUCCCAAAUGCAGUUAGAUACUUAACUCCCUUUCACAGGUGGGACCCCUCCUCCGCAUUUGCUAAAACUAGAAGCUGCACCAGACAGCCCUACUACCCAGUUUGCUGCCUUUUGUAGCCCUCCUACUAGCCCCCAGCACUCCGCACAGCGAACAGGAGGUGUGAUCCCCCGUACCAGUCGCAGUUAAAUAAGGUGAUGCGGGGGCCCGCCAGGCAGAUGGAAUUCGGCCUGUGGGCCAGUAUUUGUCCAUCGCUGGUUUACAGCCAGUCACAAGUGACUGCACGUGGGAUAUUUAUCUCGCCCGGGUAUUGUGGGGAAAAUCAAAUAACUCCAAUUGUG